AUAUUUCUCGCCGAGACAGAACUCGCCGAGUCCGGGAACUCGACGAGAACUCUCGCAAGGCGAAGGGGUGCCGCACGGCGGGGGUCUUGCAAGAGGAACACGUCCGUUAACAUGGGCUCGUCGGAUGACCAAGACGGCAAUGAUAGAAUCCCUCUGAACCAGCUAACAUCAUGAAUUGAAGGGUCUCGACCCUUCUCACCUGCUACAGUUCAGACAGGCGAAAAGGGGGUGAAAGUCUUCGGCGGCGUCGAUGUCACUCCGGCGCCGGGGGGGGGGGGGGGGGGGGGGGGGGGGAGGGGGAGGACUUCGGCAUCAGUUGAUCUGUGGUCGGCGUCGGUCGAUCUAUAAGUAGAUUACUAGCUUAGGUUAGUAGUUCUAGGUUUUGCCGGGGGGUGAAGCUGGCGUUUUGUUCGCUUUAGUCGGAGGAGACGGCGAUGGAUCCCCUGCGGCUGGUUUUCCUUCUGCUGGUCAUCGGAGCCGGUGGCGCAGUGGAGUGGAUUUUGCUUCUCCGGGCUGAUUUCGCUUACCAAUGUUUGGAGUCUGUUCCUUGUUUUGGACGGGAGAGGACGGUGGAUUGAUGCUCCAGAGCGCAGCCUGGUGAACGGAAGUGCAGCUGCGAUGCCCGUUCCAGGGAGGAAGAAGAACAGUUGGGGGUCUUGCUGUAAUUUUUGUAUUACUCAAGGUCCUUUAUGUAAGAAAGGGAUGUGCUGUACUGACAAUUAUCCUUUAAUAUAAGUUAUGUUCUUUUCUCAAAGAAAAAAAAAGAAGCAGCGGGAAAUUGAGCCUAUGCCUAA